rnacentral:piRNA from 1 species
GUAAGUAUGGUAUUGAAUUGAUGGG